GACUCGUCACACUAUCAUUAACUGAAUCCAUAGGUUAAUGAGGCGAACCGGGGGAACUGAAACAUCUAAGUACCCCGAGGAAAAGAAAUCAACCGAGAUUCCCCCAGUAGCGGCGAGCGAACGGGGAGGAGCCCAGAGCCUGAAUCAGCAUGUGUGUUAGUGGAAGCGUCUGGAAAGGCGCGCGAUACAGGGUGACAGCCCCGUACACAAAAGCGCAUGUGCUGUGAGCUCGAUGAGUAGGGCGGGACACGUGGUAUCCUGUCUGAAUAUGGGGGGACCAUCCUCCAAGGCUAAAUACUCCUGACUGACCGAUAGUGAACCAGUACCGUGAGGGAAAGGCGAAAAGAACCCCGGCGAGGGGAGUGAAAAAGAACCUGAAACCGUGUACGUACAAGCAGUGGGAGCACCCUUUGGGGUGUGACUGCGUACCUUUUGUAUAAUGGGUCAGCGACUUAUAUUCUGUAGCAAGGUUAACCGUAUAGGGGAGCCGUAGGGAAACCGAGUCUUAACCGGGCGUUAAGUUGCAGGGUAUAGACCCGAAACCCGGUGAUCUAGCCAUGGGCAGGUUGAAGGUUGGGUAACACUAACUGGAGGACCGAACCGACUAAUGUUGAAAAAUUAGCGGAUGACCUGUGGCUGGGGGUGAAAGGCCAAUCAAACCGGGAGAUAGCUGGUUCUCCCCGAAAGCUAUUUAGGUAGCGCCUCGUGAAUUCAUCUCCGGGGGUAGAGCACUGUUUCGGCUAGGGGGCCAUCCCGGCUUACCAACCCGAUGCAAACUGCGAAUACCGGAGAAUGUUAUCACGGGAGACACACGGCGGGUGCUAACGUCCGUCGUGAAGAGGGAAACAACCCAGACCGCCAGCUAAGGUCCCAAAGUCAUGGUUAAGUGGGAAACGAUGUGGGAAGGCCCAGACAGCCAGGAUGUUGGCUUAGAAGCAGCCAUCAUUUAAAGAAAGCGUAAUAGCUCACUGGUCGAGUCGGCCUGCGCGGAAGAUGUAACGGGGCUAAACCAUGCACCGAAGCUGCGGCAGCGACGCUGAUGCGUUGUUGGGUAGGGGAGCGUUCUGUAAGCCUGCGAAGGUGACCUGUGAGGGUUGCUGGAGGUAUCAGAAGUGCGAAUGCUGACAUAAGUAACGAUAAAGCGGGUGAAAAGCCCGCUCGCCGGAAGACCAAGGGUUCCUGUCCAACGUUAAUCGGGGCAGGGUGAGUCGACCCCUAAGGCGAGGCCGAAAGGCGUAGUCGAUGGGAAACGGGUUAAUAUUCCCGUACUUGGUGUUACUGCGAAGGGGGGACGGAGAAGGCUAUGUUGGCCGGGCGACGGUUGUCCCGGUUUAAGCGUGUAGGUGUGUGUUCCAGGUAAAUCCGGUU
rnacentral:rRNA from 1 species